rnacentral:rRNA from 1 species
UUGCUGACGAGCGGCGGACGGGUGAGUAAUGCUUGGGAACAUGCCUUGAGGUGGGGGACAACAGUUGGAAACGACUGCUAAUACCGCAUAAUGUCUACGGACCAAAGGGGGCUUCGGCUCUCGCCUUUAGAUUGGCCCAAGUGGGAUUAGCUAGUUGGUGAGGUAAUGGCUCACCAAGGCGACGAUCCCUAGCUGGUUUGAGAGGAUGAUCAGCCACACUGGGACUGAGACACGGCCCAGACUCCUACGGGAGGCAGCAGUGGGGAAUAUUGCACAAUGGGCGCAACCCUGAUGCAGCCAUGCCGCGUGUGUGAAGAAGGCCUUCGGGUUGUAAAGCACUUUCAGUGGUGAGGAAAGGCAGAAAAUUAAUACUUUUCUGCUGUGACGUUAACCACAGAAGAAGCACCGGCUAACUUCGUGCCAGCAGCCGCGGUAAUACGAGGGGUGCAAGCGUUAAUCGGAAUAACUGGGCGUAAAGCGCACGCAGGCGGUUUGUUAAGCCAGAUGUGAAAGCCCCGAGCUCAACUCGGGAACUGCAUUUGGAACUGGCAAACUAGAGUCUUGUAGAGGGGGGUAGAAUUUCCAGUGUAG